CCUACGGGUAGCAGCAGUGAGGAAUAUUGGUCCAUGGACGAGAGUCUGAACCAGCCAAGUAGCGUGAAGGAUGACUGCCCUAUGGGUUGUAAACUUCUUUUAUAUGGGAAUAAAAUGUUCCACGUGUGGGAUUUUGUAUGUACCAUAUGAAUAAGGAUCGGCUAACUCCGUGCCAGCAGCCGCGGUAAUACGGAGGAUCCGAGCGUUAUCCGGAUUUAUUGGGUUUAAAGGGAGCGUAGGUGGAUUGUUAAGUCAGUUGUGAAAGUUUGCGGCUCAACCGUAAAAUUGCAGUUGAAACUGGCAGUCUUGAGUACAGUAGAGGUGGGCGGAAUUCGUGGGGUAGCGGUGAAAUGCUUAGAUAUCACGAAGAACUCCGAUUGCGAAGGCAGUUCACUGGACUGCAACUGACACUGAGGCUCGAAAGUGUGGGUAUCAAACAGGAUUAGAUACCCGAGUAGUC
rnacentral:rRNA from 1 species